AGGACCGAGUGGGGAGGAAGAGUGGGAGCACCGACCACUUUUUUGAAUUGCAAAUGAAGCUGAAAAAUUCAUGCACAAAAAUGUAUAUCUUUCCUUCUCUCUUCACAUUUCCUCCAACUUCUUCUCCUGUAAUUCGCAAUUC
ensembl:ncRNA ZK867.5 ncRNA